rnacentral:lncRNA from 1 species
UUUUUUUUUUUUUUGUACAAGUGGUUGUUCAUCAAAGCCAGGUCCUGGGUCACCAACAUACAUUGUCUGGAUCUUCAAACAGCUUUGCUGUAACAGCAGACUUCCUUUUACAGCUGUGAACAACAAUGAAUUAAACGAAGCCCCUUUACUCUUUCUCAGUCAUUAAGUCACAUCACCUUUCUACUGCAAAUCAAGCUUGAAACUUUUGUUGUAUGUUGUUAGUGUUGGGUUCACUCUGGUCACACUAGGAAAAAACCACUUGGAACAGAUUUGUUUCACAGAUGAGGCUUGGGAACUCCUAUUUUUUCUUUCCUCACCAAGAAAAAUAUUUUCUUAUUUUAAAAUAUUGAAUUUUAAGCUCAGGAAGUCUUUGAAGCUCAUUUUGGAAGUGACUAAAUUUUUCGCCUUAUCAAUUUAAACAUUGAGAAACACUGAAAAUUUUAGCUGGUCUGUUUUGACUUGCCAGAAUGAAUGGAAAUAAUUAAAAGUUUAUCAAGACUAGAAAUAUUUUGGGGUAAAAGAAAGGAAAGGGUAACAAGUUUAUAAAAAAAAAAAAAAGGUCUAAAGUCAGUGUCUAGGACAGACUAACUGUAAACAAAGAAAAAACUUCAUCUACAGGCUCCAGUGUAUAUUGUUGUCAUAGCCAAUUUUCCCCCAGCUUAUGCAGUUGCAGACAUUGACAUGUGUGUGAUACUUCCCAUCCCAUAGAAAGCUACAGCAGUUUUUUUUCUGUCUCCUAUGGUAUUGGGCUGGAGCAAUAGCUGAGUAAGAAAAUAACAUGCUGAAAAUUGUCUCCUCCCAAAAGGCUUUGAAUUGAUGCUGCAGUAAUUUGAAGCAGUCCCUAUUCUGCAUUUGACAUAGGAGUAGCCUCUAAGGCACCCACCAGAAAUACAGAUUUUUUUGCUUUAAUUAAUAGGUGGUUGACAUUUUUUUACUUAAAUUUUUGUUUUUUUAAAUGAAGAUUGAUCUGUUUCAAGAUUGGGUGUUUGAAAUUUUCUGGGUUCAUGAAUAUAGAGAUAAGGACAUAAACUGUUAAUAAACAUACUGAUUAAACUGGUC